GCCAGUAUGGUGUAGUGGUUUGAGCAUUGGUCUAUGACUCUAGAGACCAGGGUUUGAAUCCCUGCUCAACCA
rnacentral:tRNA from 1 species